CCUACGGGCGGCAGCAGUGGGGAAUAUUGGACAAUGGGCGAAAGCCUGAUCCAGCCAUGCCGCGUGUGUGAAGAAGGCCUUCGGGUUGUAAAGCACUUUCAGUGGGGAAGAAAGCCUUGGGGCUAAUACCCUCGAGGAAGGACAUCACCCACAGAAGAAGCACCGGCUAACUCCGUGCCAGCAGCCGCGGUAAUACGGAGGGUGCGAGCGUUAAUCGGAAUUACUGGGCGUAAAGCGCGCGUAGGCGGUCUGAUAAGCCGGUUGUGAAAGCCCCGGGCUCAACCUGGGAACGGCAUCCGGAACUGUCAGGCUAGAGUGCAGGAGAGGAUGGUAGAAUUCCCGGUGUAGCGGUGAAAUGCGUAGAGAUCGGGAGGAAUACCAGUGGCGAAGGCAGCCUUCUGGACUGACACUGACGCUGAGGUGCGAAAGCGUGGGUAGCAAACAGGAUUAGAUACCCCGGUAGUC
rnacentral:rRNA from 1 species